UCUUAUGGAUGAGCAAAGAAAGUGGUUUCUUGAGAUGGAAUCUACUGUGAAGAUGCUGUGAA
rnacentral:pre_miRNA from 1 species